rnacentral:rRNA from 1 species
GAUGAACGCUGGCGGCGUGCCUAAUACAUGCAAGUCGAACGAAACUUCUCUAUCACCGAGUGCUUGCCCUCACCGAUAAAGAGUUGAGUGGCGAACGGGUGAGUAACACGUGGGCAACCUGCCCAAAAGAGGGGGAUAACACUUUGAAACAGGUGCUACUACCGCAUAACCAUAGUUACCGCAUGGCAACUAUGUAAAAGGUGCCUGUACUACCGCUUCUGGAUGGGCCCGCGGCGCAUUAGCGAGUUGGUAGGGUAUAGGCUUACUAAGGCAAUGAUGCGUAGCCGAAGUGAGAGGGUGAUCGGCCACAUUGGGACUGAGACACGGCCCAAACUCCUACGGGAGGCAGCAGUAGGGAAUCUUCCACAAUGGGCGAAAGCCUGAUGGAGCAACGCCGCGUGGGUGAAGAAGGUCUUCGGAUCGUAAAACCCUGUUGUUAGAGAAGAAAGUGCGUGAGAGUAACUGUUCACGUUUCGACGGUAUCUAACCAGAAAGCCACGGCUAACUACGU